rnacentral:rRNA from 1 species
GAUGAACGCUGGCGGCGUGCCUAAUACAUGCAAGUCGAGCGCUGAAGGUUGGUUCUUGUACCGACUGGAUGAGCAGCGAACGGGUGAGUAACGCGUGGAGAAUCUGCCUUUGAGCGGGGGACAACUUCUGGAAACGAAUGCUAAUACCGCAUAAAAACUUUAACCACAAGAUUUAAGUUUGAAAGAUGCAAUUGCAUCACCCAAAGAUGAUUCCGCGUUGUAUUAGCUAGUUGGGGAAGGAAAGGCUCACCAAGGCGAACAUACAUAGUCGACCCGGGGAGGUGGACAGCCACAAUUGGACUGGGACACGGCCCCAGCCCCUACCGGAGGCAGCAGUAGGGAAACUUCGGGAAUGGGCGGAAGGCUGACCGGACAACGCCGCGGGAGUGAAUGAGGGUUUCGGAUCGUAAAACUCUGUUGGUAAGGGAGAACGAUGUGGGGAUUGAAAAGCUCAUGAAGUGACGGUAACUACUCAGAAAGCAACGGCUAACUACGUG